rnacentral:rRNA from 1 species
CGAAAGCCUGACGGAGCAACGCCGCGUGAGGGACGAAGGCCUCUGGGCUGUAAACCUCUUUUCUCAAGGAAGAAGAUCUGACGGUACUUGAGGAAUAAGCCACGGCUAAUUCCGUGCCAGCAGCCGCGGUAAUACGGGAGUGGCAAGCGUUAUCCGGAAUUAUUGGGCGUAAAGCGUCCGCAGGCGGUUCUGUAAGUCUGCCGUUAAAGCGUGGAGCUUAACUCCAUUUCAGCGGUGGAAACUACAAGGCUUGAGUGUGGUAGGGGCAGAGGGAAUUCCCGGUGUAGCGGUGAAAUGCGUAGAUAUCGGGAAGAACACCAGUGGCGAACGCGCUCUGCUGGGCCAUAACUGACGCUCAUGGACGAAAGCCAGGGGAGCG